rnacentral:rRNA from 1 species
GCAGAACGCGAAGAACCUUACCCAGGUUUGACAUCUUCGGAAGGCUUCCGAAAGGAAACUGUGCCGUAAGGAACCGAAUGACAGGUGAUGCAUGGCCGUCGUCAGCUCGUGUCGUGAGAUGUUUGGUUAAGUCCAUCAACGAGCGCAACCCUUAUAGUUAGUUGUAUUUUUCUAGCUAGACUGCCCUGGUAACAGGGAGGAAGGGGGGGAUGAUGUCAGGUCAGUAUUUCCCUUACAUCUGGGGCUACAAACACGCUACAAUGGCCGGUACAAAGGGCAGCCAAGUCGCGAGACGGAGCAAAUCCCAUCAAAGCCGGUCCCAGUUCGGAUAGCAGGCUGAAACUCGCCUGCUUGAAGCCGGAAUCGCUAGUAACGGUAGGUCAGCACACUACCGUGAAUACGUUCCCGGGUCUUGUACACACCG